rnacentral:rRNA from 1 species
GACGAACGCUGGCGGCGUGCUUAACACAUGCAAGUCGAGCGGUAAGGCCCUUUCGGGGGUACACGAGCGGCGAACGGGUGAGUAACACGUGGGUGACCUGCCCUCAGCUCUGGGAUAAGCCUGGGAAACCGGGUCUAAUACUGGAUAUGACUCCAUGACGCAUGUUGUGGGGUGGAAAGCCUUGUGCGGCUGAGGAUGGGCCCGCGGACUAUCAGCUUGUUGGUGGGGUGANGGCCUACCAAGGCGACGACGGGUAGCCGGCCUGAGAGGGCGACCGGCCACACUGGGACUGAGACACGGCCCAGACUCCUACGGGAGGCAGCAGUGGGGAAUCUUGCGCAAUGGGCGAAAGCCUGACGCAGCGACGCCGCGUGAGGGAUGACGGCCUCGG